rnacentral:rRNA from 1 species
UCGUAACAAGGUUUUUUGGAAGUAAAAGUCGUAACAAGGUUUCCGUAGGUGAACCUGCGGAAGGAUCAUUACCUAGAGUUGUAGGCUUUGCCUGCUAUCUCUUACCCAUGUCUUUUGAGUACCUUACGUUUCCUCGGUGGGUUCGCCCACCGAUUGGACAAAUUUAAACCCUUUGCAGUUGAAAUCAGCGUCUGAAAAAACUUAAUAGUUACAACUUUCAACAACGGAUCUCUUGGUUCUGGCAUCGAUGAAGAACGCAGCGAAAUGCGAUAAGUAGUGUGAAUUGCAGAAUUCAGUGAAUCAUCGAAUCUUUGAACGCACAUUGCGCCCCUUGGUAUUCCAUGGGGCAUGCCUGUUCGAGCGUCAUUUGUACCUUCAAGCUCUGCUUGGUGUUGGGUGUUUGUCUCCUGUAGACUCGCCUUAAAACAAUUGGCAGCCGGCGUAUUGAUUUCGGAGCGCAGUACAUCUCGCGCUUUGCACUCAUAACGACGACAUCCAAAAGUACAUUUUUACACUCUUGACCUCGGAUCAGGUAGGGAUACCCGCUGAACUU